GAGAGAGAAAGGCAGGCGGAGCAACUAACCAUAGAGGCGCAGACUCCUCCCAGCUUCCUAGAGCGGACCGGAAGUGACGCCGCGGAGGGAAGCCUAGCCGUCCCGCUCGGCGGUGGACUCGGAGGUGGCUGUGCGGCGGGGAGCUCCAGCGGAGUUGGCCGCCAGUUCUUCGAUCCCGGGGCCCCAGCGGGACCCCCUCCGCGCUUCGAGGCUGCUCGAGGAGGGCCGGGCUUCGCAGCCUACAACCUGACGAGGGCGGGACGUGGGGGCAACUGUCGUGGACGUGGGUCUGGGACACGAGCUGGCCCCCACGGUCCCUUUCCUCGCUUGGGAAGCGGCCGGCGCGGGGCAAGGCACGGAAGGGCCUCUCCUCGGCCUUUGGGAGGGAACCGAGUGCGCGGAUGACCGGGCCGAGAGGCGACUCUGGCCCGGGAGCCGAAGGCACCUCCCCGCCCCACCAGGGGAAGUCCCUCCGGAGCAGUGUGGCCUUUUCCCUGCGGAGGAGGGUUCGGGGUCUUGAGCGGCAGGUGCUGGAGUUUACUGCCCCGGAUAACAGCAUCUUCUGGAAGAGUAUUCCGUGGGAGGCGAAAAUGGGGCUGCGUUCAGGGACCGACGAUUCUGGGCAUCAGAUGAGUACGAGAUGGUAGUUAUGGGGCGGGGGUUGGGGGGGACAGGUGGUCGUCACUACUGCAGCCCCUCUGUCUCAACAGCCGGCCUCGACCUUGAGAUCAUCUGAAGUGUCCAUGUGCGGACGGUGGUGGUCACCCCUGGCUGCUGUCCGAGCCCCCUCUUUAUUCCGGGCAGAAACCCUUCUUUGACGCGGUGCCUGGUGGAGACAUUGUGGCUUAACCGGCACUUACAAUCCGUUGGCCCAGGGAAAUUUACCAGCACGGUACUGAGUCACAAACUUGGGUCAUACAAGCAACGAGUAGAGGGAAAGAAUCUUACCUCUUUUUAUCGAAUUUGAAGAACGCCGCGAUAUUUUUCUCGGUUUAAGCAGAGUUUUCUUCAGCAAAGGUGCAAUCCGUGUAAGGAUUUCCUGGCACUGUUAGGAGCUCGGUGAUGGAAUUUUAGUAUCUUUUCUGUCAGGAGUUAAUGUGGAAAUCCAGCGAUGUUCUUGAAAGCUCUAGUGAUUGGGGAAAAAAAUGACCUUUGUUCUGUUGCAGUAAUUACAACAACAGGUGGAGGGAUUGUAUGCCAGCUGCUGCUGAACCGCUUUACACGUUGUGUUCCUUCAUCCUCACAACCCUGAGCGAGAGAUGCUUUUGUUAAAUCCGUUUUUCACGCUGGUGAAGCCAAGGCCCAGAGUUUAACUCGACAGGAUUCCGGGAGGAACAGAAGCGCUCACGGGUCUAUGACGACGAAAGCCACAGGACGACGGCGGUUAAGCAAGAAGACAGAAGGUGGUUGGGAACUUCGUGGCUUUCUUGAACAGUGGUGCCAGCCCUAGAUGAUUUACCUGAGGACUUCUUGAUAAAUGACAUACUUACCCCAGAGAAAAACUAGACUUUUCUGUUGCAGUGAGUCCCAUCCUAACUGACCACCCGGCAGGUAAGUAGUAGCCCCUGCUGUGUGCCACUGCUCUUGUCACCACGUUACGUACUAGCCCAGAAAGUCCUCAUAAUGAUCUCCUGAGAUAGACCAGAUGUUCUCCAAGCGCGGUCCCUGAGCCAACAGCGUUAGCAUGACCUGGAAACUCGUUGGAAAUGCAAAUUUGGGUGCCUGACCUCAGACCUUCUGAAUGAGACUCUGGGAGCAAGGGUCCAGCAAUCUGUUUUAACAAGCCUUCCAGGUGAUUCUAAUGCAUACUGAAGUUCGACAGAUUCAUCUCUGUACAUAGAGUACUUUCCCCAUUUUACAUAUAAGUAGACUGAGCCGAACUUAAGUGACUUGCCAGUGUCCUAAAACUAGUAAGACGAACUACUAGUGUUUCUAUAAUGACUACGUUACAUCCCAUGUUAAGAACUCCUAUUCUAGAGAAGUGAUCUCCAGAAUUUGAAAGCAUACCCCUUUGAAAGAUAAUAGAUAAUGCACCCCCUUGAACAUUUUUACAUUGACAUAUAAAAUUCUCCAUCAUAAGUUUAAACGAUGGUAAAGAAUAUGAUUGUCAGAUUGUAAAUGAUGACAUUUUAAAAUGUGUUCUGACACUCUCCUAAAUUAAAAAAAAAAUUUUUUUAAUGUUUACUUAUUUUUGAGAGAGAGAGAGAGAGAGAGAGACAGAGCACAAGUGGGGGAGGGCAGAGAGAGAGGGAGACACAGAAGCAGAAGCAGGCUCCAGGCUCCGAGCUGUCAGCACAGAGCCCGAUGCGGGGCUUGAACUCACAAGCUGUGAGAUCAUGACCUGAGCCGAAGUCAGACACUUAACCGACUGAGCCACCCAGGCUCCCCUAACACUCUCCUAAAUUUAUCCAGUGGAAUCUAAAUACCAUAGUGAUGAUUAUUUUAAAUGAACUAUCAUCCAUUUAUUUAUUUAAGUUUAUAUAUUUUGAUAGCACCAGCGGGGGAGGGGGAGAGAGAAUCCCAAGUAGGCUCCACGCUCUCAGUGUAGAGGCGACUUGGGCCGAUCCCAUGAACCAUGAGAUCGUGACCUGAGAGGAGUCAAGAGUCAGAUGCCUGACCAACCGAGAGCCACCCAGGCGCCCCAACUAUCAUCCAUUAAAAAAAAUAAUUUGCUUUAACAUCUGAAAUUUUACAUCCUCGUCUUUUGUGCCUGAACUUGUAUUUUCAUUCGCCACCCCACAAAAAUAAAUUCUACUGAAACAUGGC